rnacentral:rRNA from 1 species
GAUGAACGCUGGCGGCGUGCUUAACACAUGCAAGUCGAACGGUGAAGCAGGAGCUUGCUCUUGUGGAUCAGUGGCGAACGGGUGAGUAACACGUGAGCAACCUGCCCCUGACUCUGGGAUAAGCGCUGGAAACGGCGUCUAAUACUGGAUAUGUGAUGUGACCGCAUGGUCUGCAUCUGGAAAGAAUUUCGGUUGGGGAUGGGCUCGCGGCCUAUCAGCUUGUUGGUGAGGUAAUGGCUCACCAAGGCGUCGACGGGUAGCCGGCCUGAGAGGGUGACCGGCCACACUGGGACUGAGACACGGCCCAGGCUCCUACGGGAGGCAGCAGUGGGGAAUGUUGCACAAUGGGCGGAAGCCUGAUGCAGCAACGCCGCGUGAGGGAUGACGGCCUUCGGGUUGUAAACCUCUUUUAGCAGGGAAGAAGCGAAAGUGACGGUACCUGCAGAAAAAGCACCGGCUAACUACGUGCCAGCAGCCGCCGUAA